rnacentral:rRNA from 1 species
UACGAAGGGGGCGAGCGUUGUUCGGAAUUACUGGGCGUAAAGGGCGCGUAGGCGGCGAUCCGAGUCAGAUGUGAAAGUCCUGGGCUUAACCUGGGGACUGCAUUUGAUACUGGAUUGCUUGAAUUCGGGAGAGGAUAGCGGAAUUCCCAGUGUAGAGGUGAAAUUCGUAGAUAUUGGGAAGAACACCGGUGGCGAAGGCGGCUAUCUGGACCGACAUUGACGCUGAGGCGCGAAGCGUGGGGAGCAAACAGG